UCAUCGGUUCUCGUACAAUUUCCGAAGUUAAGCAACGUCGAACCUGGUCAGUACCUAAAUGGGUGACCACUUGGGAAUACCUGGUACUGUAAG